UACAGGGGGUGCAAACGUUGCUCGGAAUUAUUGGGCGUAAAGCGCGCGUAGGCGGCUACUUAAGUCGGAUGUGAAAGCCCUUGGCUCAACUGAGGAAGUGCACCCGAAACUGAGUGGCUAGAGUACGAAAGAGGGUCGCGGAAUUCCCAGUGUAGAGGUGAAAUUCGUAGAUAUCGGGAGGAACACCGGUGGCGAAGGCGGCGACCUGGGUCGAUACUGACGCUGAUGCGCGAAAGCGUGGGGAGCAAACAGG
rnacentral:rRNA from 1 species